ACAGAGUUGAGCCUCACUGGCUAGAAGGGCCAGUUUUCUCAUCCCCCAAGCCCCGAUCCGAAGAAAGGGACAUGACAGGCCGACAUCACAGAGGGAAGGUUCGCCUCGGUGUACCCACAAACCCAGCCCGAAACUUAACGACGCGCUUACUCCACGGAUGCAACGCCGGGACAAAGGCAAUUUGGUACAGCAGGAAAAGAACUGAAGGAGCAGCCUAGCAACCGAGGCGCUAAAAUCGGGCUGAUCUCCGUGGGAGCACAGCCAAGUCCCCUCCCCUUCUCCUUACGGCCUCCACGACUGCACCUGUUCAUUCCGCCAGCAAGGUGGUUGUAUUUUUGCAAUCAUGACCCCAGCACGACCUCGGCCUCGCGCUGCCACUUUAGGGCAAGAGGUGUUCCCCACUCGGAACUCGAAAGAGAACAGCUGCGAGACGAGGGUCAGUCGCAGGGCCGCUAAAAGCUUCCCGAAAGCCAGGUCUCCAGGACCGAGAUGCCCAGGGAGGAGUCCCACGGCUCUGCAGGCUGGGGACCGGAGACCCGGGGCCUGCCAGAGGGUCCCUGCAGGGCGCCCGACCCGGGGAGGGGAGGGGCCCCAUUCCCGCGGUGGGGCGCGACGA